UGUAAGCGGGGAAUAACCCGUUGAAAGACGGACUAAUACCGACAUAAAUACUAAAUUACUGCAUGGUAAUUAUUUAAACAUUUAUGGCUUACAGAUGGGCAUGCGCAUGAUUAGCUAGUUGGAGAGGUAACGGCUCCCCAAGGCAACGAUCAUUAGGGGUUCUGAGAGGAAGGUCCCCCACACUGGUACUGAGACACGGACCAGACUCCUACGGGAGGCAGCAGUGAGGAAUAUUGGUCAAUGGACGAGAGUCUGAACCAGCCAAGUCGCGUGCAGGAAGAAUGUCCUUAAUGGAUUGUAAACUGCUUUUGCAGGGGAAUAAAGUGCAUCACGUGUGAUGUUUUGUAUGUACUCUGCGAAUUAAGGAUCGGCUAACUCCGUGCCAGCAGCCGC
rnacentral:rRNA from 1 species